UUUCCUUUCCGGGCCGCAGCAUAGCAUCGUGUCUUCUCACGCCUGCCUGCCGAGCCCUAGUUCUUGUUCGGCGCUGUUGGAUUGAGCUCAGGUCCGGCCGACGCCUUUCAUCUCCGGUCUCCUUCAUGUUCCGAUUUCUUUCUUUCUUCUCAGGUCUUCCCCGAGCCUUUCCUUCCCCGAUCCUUCCUCUCUAUUUUGCCGAUCCUUUCUUCCCCGAUUCGAUCGCCGGCUUGAAGAUGCCCUAGGGGUUUCGAAGGUCACGAAUUUGGAGAGGUUGGAAUCAGGGAGGUGUUGUUGGAUUAGGGGAAGGAAUCGGAUCAGACUCGUGCUAGGUUUUCCCUUGAUCGGAUCAGUGGACCUCCACCUCCUUGCUGUUGAUUGAGGUCUCAAAUUGCAGGUUAGGUACUGUGGGGUUUUGGUUGGUGGUCAGUAAUUGCAUCCGGGCAGAAAGGUAGAUUCUAGCAGCUCAUCCGGCAGGACCUCUUUCCGGCAGCCCUCUUGUUGACUGAGCUUGAGGAUUUUGAUUCGAGACAGACGUCUUGACGUUGACUUCGGAUUUGGGAUUGUACCUUCUAUUUGAG